rnacentral:lncRNA from 1 species
UACAAAGAAGCAGCUCUCAUAACUAAAAUGCUCCUAAAAAUUGUUGGAUAAAAGAAAUACUCUCUUACCUCUGUUUUUAGUAAAAAUAGCGUCUCAACACCAAAUCACUAGGGUUUCUUGAGGGACAAUUGCACCAAUUGGUAAAUCCUUUUGCUUCGAGGUGUUAAUUAUUAUAGAUCACAAACAACAAGUUUCAAUGGCAUGUAGAUCUUGAGUUAUAAGUGAAUUGCAGAUAAAGGCUUUUGGGAGUAUUUUGAUGCGUAAAGCUCCGGUGGUGCUCUCCUUUUACUGAAGAAGAGAAGGCUACUCUUACUCUAAGAUCUGGUUUUAGGUUUGUUUUCGUUCUUCUUUUUUUUUUUUAGUUUUUUUACUUUUAGGUCUUUAGAUUUUUUUUACAUGUAUGUUUAGAUAUCCAAUCAAAAAAAUUAUGGAAUGAACUAAGACUGUUUAAUCAAUUAUUAUGUGGUUAGUAAUUUCAUUAUUGCUCUCUCAAUAAAUUGGAGUUUUCAUUUAAUUUAUUUUUAUAAUUUGAAUUUUGGAUACGAAUGGUUUUUCCCCCUUUGAAUUGAAUGUUUUGUAAGGUAGACUAAUAGUAUUAGUUGCUGCAACUAUAGGGUUAAUACAGAAGUACUCAACAUCUUGAGGUAAUUGAUUUAUGUACUUCUCAUAGCUCGUACUAAUGGAUGCUUUUGUUUAUUUAUUAUCAGCUCAACAUCAUUGGUGCUUGAUAAAAUAUUGAUAUUUGUAAGUCUUUUGAGGUCAGACAUUCAGCAAAAUCUUCCACUUUAUAGAUUUUGGAGGGGACGACGCUGAGUUAAAGAAAGAGUCCUUUCAAGAUGAAAAAUAGAUUAAGAAUAGCGAGAUGGUGCGGCAAAACGAAUGUAAUGGUUUAAGUUAGUUCCUUAGAAAAGUGAGAAAAUGGUUGUUAGAGUUCUAUGAUGACUUACCUUCUUCUUCGUCUUUAGAUUGCUUUUAUAGCCAUUAAUUAAUAGAUGGCAGUCUUUCUAGAAAGAUUAUCUAGACAGUUACAAUUAAAUUUCUUGGAUUACGGCUUUCCAAACAUGUGACCUAUGUUUUUAUGGGAUUACUUUGGUCUUGCUCAUCUUUGUUUGAUUGCUCCUAUUUAAUCGAACCAAAAACAUACACAUAAGAUAUGAUGGUAUCAGUAGGAACUAGAAGUCUGGGAGUUGACAUGACAUCUAAUGGAAUUAAUUUCACUAGUUAAAAAUGCAUGGUUUGUAGUUUAAGAGUUUAUGCAAAUCAAUAAGGUUGUGUGUGUAUAUAUAUAGUAUAACUGAAACAUCGAAUUAUGCAAUGUGAACAUGUAAUCUAAUCUACUGCAAUAGAAGAUAUCAGUAAGGCCUACAGAAGCAAGCAACUGUUCUAAGUUAGCAAGGCAUCAAGAGUAGAUCAGCUGCUUUUUUUCUUGAGAAAUCGCUUUUCACUCUUUUUGUUUCUUGAUUCCAAAGUGCUUUUAAGUGUAUAUAGUUGAUGGAGAUACUUGGAGUGACCUUGCAUUAGGCAAUCAAUGAACCACUCUGGCAUCAAGAGAGUUGUUGUUGCUGCUCUAUUGUGGGUAUUUUCAUGUGUUAAUUUUUUGAUUUUAUGUAACUGAAUAUCAAACAUGUACUUACUGAGUAAUUGACUUGAAAGGGCAUAUGUUUCAUAUGUUGAGCCCACAAAUAGAGGCUCUUUUCUUCAAUCCACUUAUUGGCCUUGCAAUUGGACUUUGAAUGCAUGAAUUAUCAUAUAUUAGGUGGAUCAAUUUAUGCUUG